rnacentral:tRNA from 1 species
CACUGUACAGCUAUUCCAGCAUUAACCUUUUAAGUUGAAGAUUGAGGGCAUGCUCUCUGCAGUGA